rnacentral:lncRNA from 1 species
GCUAUUCUGUUCGAUUUCUUGUCGGCAUAUUCUUGAUCCGAAUCUUUGGAUGGAAAAGAUUUGAUCCGAUCUUUAGACAGAAAACUAUCAGUUCCAACUCUUAGUCGGCAUGCUACACUCUUUGAUCCCUCCUCGAAAGCAGGUUGAUUGGACGCAGAUUCAAAAAGCAGCGCCAACUGACCGUAGUUGUCAACACUACCUGACCAUAGCUGUCAAUACUAUUUGAAUGUA